CCGUCCGGCAUCCUAGGCGGGUCGCUGCGGGACCUCCCUCGUGUCUGUGGCGGUGGGAUCCCGUGGCCGUGUUUUCCUGGUGGCCCGGCC
rfam:Homo sapiens chromosome 20, GRCh38 reference primary assembly.